ensembl:lncRNA
CUGAUUUGUCCAUUGGUGCAAAAUGCUCAUGGAAUUUGGUCAAAACAAUGAUGAAGUGAGUCAGCAUGAGCAAAAUAUUUAUUAGUCAUAUUCAGAGCCACUGACUUAAGUUAGUGUACGCUGCUAAGAAACUUACAGACAAUGGUUCUUAUUCAAUGAAGUUGUAUAUGAACAAAUCUGAGCAAAAGAUUGACCAUUCGAAAAUGUUCAUCAGUGCAUCUGAAUGAUCAGACUCAUGUAUGGUCAGACAACUGUAAAUUCAAACAACCAUUUAUUACAUUGUAGACAAUAAAAUUACAGUUACACUGAAGGUGGGGAAGAAGUGAAUUUGAGUGGGGUAUUUGGUCAAAUACCCAAUGUUUAUUUAAUGUUCUUAAAAUGCACACAGUUUGUUACAGUGAGGACACUGACAAUGCAAUGUCAAAAUGCUUUUCACUAAUGAACAGCCCAUUAUCAGAUGGAUGAGGUUUGUGAGCAUUUCCAAUGUUCUUAAAAAAAAAUUCACUAUUUUGAGCAAGGGUAGACAAUAUUUGAGUAGUUGUACUUUCUUACUAUACUUAAGUAUUAUUUUGGUGUAUUUAUACUUGAUUGUUGUUGAAAUUGAAUACUUGUACUCUUACCCGAUUACAUUUCCAAUAAAAAAAAGGAAUUUUUCCUCCAUACAUUUUUAUUUAGACCUACAAAGUACGUUAUAAACCUCUACCUUAUUGUGUUACACAAUGUAGUUAGUGCUAUAGCUAACCAUGUAUGUCUGAAUAUGGAUAAUCCUUUGCCCUGUGUUACUUGAGCAUGCGCACCCCUGGCCCUGAGUAGCAACUAUUUAACUUUCAUUUGAUUGCAUUUUUUGGCAGAAUAGUUCAACUUUUAAUUGAGUAAGAUUUUGACACAUUAUAUAUACUGUCACUUAAGCAUAAUUUCUCAGUACUUUGUCCACCCCUAACUGUGAGGUAAGGUAAUUAAAAUUUCCACUUACAGAAAUUUAACAUUUGUUCUAUGAUUAUUAAGAAUAUAAUUAUCACUGUUCGUCCACAUGACACUAACAUUUUGGUUGUCAGUAGUCUCAGUAGUAUGUAAUAACAAUGCACCGAAAUAAUGAAAUCAACUUCACCCUAAAAUAUAAAUAAAUAAAUAAAUAAAUAAAUAAAUACAGACAGACAGACAGACAGACAGACAAAGUCAAUGCUAUCCAGAUGGAGACUUUAUGUUUUUAUAUAACUUCUACUGCUAUUUUAAAAGCUCAGUCAGUCCUGCCAAACUAACUUCUAACUCCAGUUAGUUACACCACCUUCCAAAUAGUUUAUAGCACAUAUUUGCCAAGCUAAAGACCCAGAAGUUACACGACCCCAAAUCCAUCCAUAACCUACUUACACAUAACACCAUUUCAAGCUUAUGUUAGUAAAUAUAUAUAAAGAUAUUUAAUGCCUUCAGCUAUUUUGUAACACUGUAUUUCCCUUCUCCUUGUCAGAAUGCGUCCUGCCCAAACUUCUGUUAUUCAUUCUAGCAAGAGUAAUGUCUGAGCUAUGAGCUGAAAACUUGUCCAGACCAUGUCUCAUGCUUUGUUCCUGGUGUAAGGUUAGUGAUUACCACCUCUAUAGCCUGGAACUUCAGAUUCUUCGGUGGAACAGGACACACUUUGUAGGUCACCUCAUCCCCCUCCACUGGUACAUAUUCACCCUCAAUGCUGUUAAAAAAAAAAAAGAAGGCACAUAUUAUUCUUUAAAAUGUCAGUGCCCCAUUGAUUUUACAAAAUUCUAAUUAUGUAUUAUUCUAGAGUCCAAUGCAGCAUGCUUGAUAACUCCUCUGAUAGUGUACUCACUCUGAGAU